rnacentral:lncRNA from 1 species
CAAAUAUGGCCGCUGCUUGAUGUUCAAAAACCUCUAGGCAAUCAGUGUUCUCACGAUGGUCGUUCAUUUGUACAAAUUGCUGAUGACGAGAUAGGCAUUCUCAACCGGCAUCAAAACUAUCCCAAAACCCAUUAACUACAUGAAUGUGUAAUAUCAUCUGUUGUUUAGUCGAUUGAACCUGCGGUGCCUCAAUGUGUGUCCCCUUCUAUGCUGCAUGUGUACAAUACGUGAAGCAUAUGAAACCAUGCAGCUCUAUAUCUCUGUCUGGAUGUGUCCAGGGAGAACCCGGCCCACAAGGAAAGGAUGGCUUGGCUGGAUCUGCUGGAGCAAAGGGAGAUAAGGGGGAGGCCGGGGUCCCAGGAGUUUUGACCGGCGGUCAGGUGAGUCCAAUAUAUAUCUCUUCUCACUAUAUUGUAGCACAUGAAAAUAAGCUGUACUUGUAUUGGGAAUCACCUGAUUGUAAUUUCAAUCAGUAACGGCUACGAUACGAUACGAUACAACUUUAUCAAUCCCCCGUAGGAGAAAUGAGUUAAAGGCCGGUUGAAGUGUUUGAUUAAUGCUAGCAAUGCUAUGAUUUGUAUUUGCGAGAUUAGGCCGAACGUGUCAUUAAAUUUCCGUAAACAGACACACACACACACACACACACACACACACACACACACACACACACACACACACACACACACACACACACUUGCAUACAUCGUAGACUUCAACGUAAAUAACUCUACUAACGGGUUCUUCAGCCAGCCUGAGAUCAUGGAACGCAAAUAUUGUCCAACCCAAACUAAUUAUACAUUUAAAUAGCCUUUCAUAUUUUUCUAGGCUGCUCGUCCACCCUAAGGGUGAUUGCUGUAUAGAUGAGUUCAGCGUGCUCAGCCUUAGUGCAUUUGAUUUAGACUGAGGAGACUGAGGAAGACACAGGACAGGACGGGGACAACAGGGUUAUAUUAUAUAUUUAACAGUCCUUUUGGAAUAUUUGUCUUCACUGUCCUGUGGUGUCUGGCGAUUGCUUUACUUAUUGCUAGGCACUUUUACCACUUGCAUGUGAAUCUAUGCACAGUGAAUAAUGUGUUUUGUAUCUAUUGUAGUGAUGCACUAUAUAGCAAAUGUUUAGUUGGAUACAGUUAAAAAGUGGUCCCAAUGAGAUGACUUGGAUAAACUCCAGUAUUGGAAAAGCUAUUCAAAAUUCAGUAUAGUCUAUCAUAUAUUCAUCAUGGAAUAAUCAGGACAAGUUGAAGACAAGGCUGUAGGCCACAUAAUUAGUCCCAGCUGUCAGUCUGUGCGUUCAUAUGAUGCAUGAAUUCCGAAAAGGACUCAAGACUCACCUGUUCAGAGUCCACCUCGACACAGCACAGCCACCCUCCCCCUUCUGGCCACCAUUGUACACUGUAUUGUAUUGUAUUGUAUUGUAUUGUAUUGUAUUGUAUUGUAUUGUAUUGUAUUGCACUAUAGUACUUAACUGUGUAGCAACUGCAGUAGCUGCUAUCAUGGCUGUAACACGGGGAAUUGGUUAGCCUAGCGAUUGUGGUAGGCCUACUUGCACUUGGUUCUAUGAACAUCCUUUCUGUACCGACAGCGAUAUAUUGAUGUACUUCUUAUGACUAAUGUACUUAGUGUAAGUCGCUUUGGAUAAAAGCGUCUGCUAAAUGCCCUAAAUGUAAAAAUGUAAAUGAAUA